rnacentral:tRNA from 1 species
GCCUGAGUGGUGGAAUGGUAGACACGAAGGACUUAAAAUCCUUUGGUCAGUGAUGGCUGUGCGGGUUCAAGUCCCGCCUCAGGUACCA